UGCUGCUGUUUACACUAUGUGGAAGCUGGACACUCAGCCUGUUUCGGGGGGACCCAGGCUAAAGGUUCUGCCCUAGGUGUGUAGAGACGGGGUUCCACCGUGUUAGCCAGGAUGGUCUCGAUUUCCUGACCUCGUCAUCCUCCCGCCUUGGCCUCCCAAAGUGCUGGGAUUACAGGCUUGAGCCACCGCGCCCCGCUCUUUCGUGUUCCAAAGGCUUUUUAAAUAAACUUCCACUCCUGUCCUGGAUUCUGCUUUAUGGCCCUCAGUCGAAUUCUUUCUUCUGAGGAGGCAAGGACUGAAGUUGCUUCUGACCAGUACAGGAGAAAACGAAUACAGCAGGGAUGACUUCCACCAGCUCCACUUUGCAGCUCUGAGGUGUAUUAAAAAUGACCUGGAAGAAGUCAUGCCACGGGCCAGACCUUAACAUUCCUUUCGGCUUACCCCAGGAUUUCAGACAAAGCUUCACUUUCCUAACCAGUCACAAAUCAGAGAAUUUUUGAUUCCACCUAUGACCUGUGAGCUCCUGCUUCAAGAUAUUCCACCUUUUUUAGGCCAAACCAAUGUAUAACCUCCAAGUGUCGAUUUACACUUUCGACUGUAACUUCUGCUUUCCUGAGAUUUACCCCUGCCUUUAAAAACCCUUGCUUGUAAUCCCUCAGGGAGGCCGUGUAUUUAUUAAUCAUGAGCUGCCCAAUUCUCCUUGCUUGGUGCCCUGCAAAUAAACACCCUCUUUUCUCCCACUGCAAAA
rnacentral:lncRNA from 1 species